GCUCGUUCUCUCUCAAGUAAAUAAAUAAAAUGUUUUUUAAAAAAUCAACAAAUAUUUGGUAGAUGUCAAGGACAAUUUACAGGUAGACAAACCCGUAUAUAUACACUGACAAGUGAUGGUGCCAGAACACUAAUAGUGUGUAGGUAGGGAUUACUGGGGGUGGUGAUGGCAAGUGUGGGAACCUACUGAGGCAAAGUGGUUGACGAUGGCCUCUCUGGGUGAGGUGUAGAGGAUGAAGAGGUACCAGUUCUCUAAGGGUGAAGAAGAAGCACAGGUAGAGGAAACAGCGUUGGGAAAGUCAUUCAUUCAUUCAUUCAUUCAGAACAGGGGCAGGAGUAGAGGACGAGGGAGAGAGAGAGGGUCUCAAGCAGACUCCACACUGAGCCCAGAGCCUUAGGCAGGACUCACGACCCUGAGAUUGUGACCUGAGCUGAAACCAGGCAAUGGGGACUUAACCGACUCUGCCCCCUCAGGCACCCCAAUGUUGGGAAAGUCUUGAGGUGAGAGAGAGCUCAGGGGAUUCAGGAAACUGCAAAGCAGCCGGUAAUGGCCACAAGGCUGCUGUGAGGGAAAGCUGGUGAGGCUGUAGGAGUUGAGGCCGGGUUUUAUUCUAAGUACAAUGGAAAGACAUGGAAUGGCUUUUAAGUGAGCAUGUAUGCCUCUGUGUGUGUGUGUGUGUGUGUGUGAGAGAGAGAGAGAGAGAGAGAGAGAGAGAGAGCGCUGUCUCAUGUGGGCACCUGUGAGGAGAUUCCUUACCAAAAUUGCUAAUGAUGACCUCAUGAUCCCUAUCCUACCCUUUGAGGAAACUUUAAUCAUUCGAGCACUUGCUUGUCCAUUGGCACGAGACACACUGAUGAAAGGAGUUACCGAAGAAACCUCUCCUUGUUCCAGGACACUGAGAGGACCAGCAAGGCCUUCUUGGUGGCCCUCCUGAUUCUUCACUUCCUAGGCUCUCAUCACAGUGCAUUUCCUCAUGAUGUCCCUUACUGACGCACUGGUGGCCUACACGGAGUCUUGCUGCCUUUACUCCCCAGCCUGUCCCCCCUUCUCACUCCCCUCCACCUCUCCUUCCUCUUCUCUCCUUUCCUUCCUGCUCUUCCGCUCUGUUUCCUCUUCCUUCUCUCCGCCUUUCCCAUGAACGGUCAGAGUUACUUGCCAAACCACAGCUCUUAGAUUUCUAUUUUCCCAAAUUUCGUGGCUUGUGAUUUGUGUUAUUGCUUUUCUCCUCUCAUUCAUGUAAGGCCCUCCUCUGGCUCCUUUCACCUCUCCUAGAGGGACUUCUCCCCCAUUCUCCCCUCCCUCAGCAGGCCUAACCGCCAGGUCACUCAGUUUAACGAAUGUCAUCAGGAAAAAGUGCUCUUGCUCUAGCCCUGUAAAAAGACGUGAAGGGACGAAUCUCAGUGACAUCCGUCUAUGGCCAUCAAUACGGCAGAAGGCAUUUCCUGAAAACCAGACAAAACAGAAGGUAUCACUGAGCCACCUCCUUUCUGUGGCUCAUUGCGCCCUCUGAGUCAGGAUAAUGAGAGAACAUUCUUAAAACAUGACCUAACCACACUCUGUUCUCAAACAAAUUCCUGGAUGUGUGUGGAAGACACUCCACCAGCAAGCCCGAGCACAAACGUGCGGGCGGGCUUGUUAGCACUCCUCAGAGUUGCUACCUGCACAAAGCCACCUUCUGAACCAGUUAGUUUAUUCAAACAAAACAAAACAUAACAACUGAAUACCAGCCAGUUACUAGCAGACACACUUAUGUGUGUCUCAUGGCUGCGAUUCAUGGUUUUGUGUUGACGGGGGCCUUUGGGUAUUUGGGGCCCCUUGACAACGUCACUCAUUAGCAAGAAGUUAUGGAAAAUUCUUGUCAGAUAUGGGAAAAAAGAAACAGGAUGUUGUCCAUUCCCAGAAUAACGUGCAGGUAGAAAGUCACAAUGUGUCAUUUGUCCCCCAUCUCACCUAUACCUGGAGGGGUGUGUGUGUGUGUGUGUGUGUGUGUGUGUGUUUAACCUAGGCGGCUUAUGUGAGUGGAUUUUAAGAAAUUAAUUUAACUGAAAAAUGAUUAAAUUACAAAGAGGUAAAAGCAUUCAGUUGGCAUCAUGCGGGGUCAGAGGCCGUUGCUAAUGCAAUAUUCCAUCAAUUGACUCAUUGCUAUUCUUUCAUGGAUGUGAUUUAGUUUCUCAAAUAGCUCUUAUCGUGGCAGGCUUGCAUGGGAGACAUGGUGCAGAUGCCUUAUAAUCAUUGCAGUGUGUUUACUUAACAUUUUUAAAAGCAAUGAAGCGAUUUAAAAUGUAUUCGUGUAUGUGUGUGUCUGCACAGCCGCAGAGAGAUUUUGUGAAUGUUCGGACAAGGUUCUCAGUGAACACUAGGGCAAGUGUUGAAUUUAUCCACUGUAGGGCCCUUCAUGCAUUUCAAAGAGCUUCAUGCAGACGGUUGUUAAGCUUUCUUCAUACCCAUUGAAUAUACCACUAUCUCUUUUAAUACACGGAAGAAGCCAGAAGACAAAGAGUCUCUCUGUGUUCCUUAUCCAAGGCCACACAACGCUUGCUGGAAACUUGGGCUUCCUGAGUGCUGGCCACUUAUUUGCAGCAUAUCCUAAGUGCUGGAAAAUGGGGCGGGUCAGUGUGUUAGAAAGUACAGUAAUCUACAGCUAGGGGGGUGAGGUUUUGAUAGACACUGCUUUUUUUGAUUUGGGUAGAAAAUAGAGCAAGACAAGUCAUAAGAAUGGUUUUUCUCAUAGAAACCUACUGCGGUCGGGGGUAGAAUAGUCCCACAAGGCCAUGGGAAAGGGCAGAGAGAAGGUUCUGGCAGCACGUGAGUGGGAAUGUGUGCACAUGGGUGGCGGGAGCUGCAUGUCCAGACCUGUCCUCUGCCUCUUCUCCUUCAUCUUUGUCUCAGACUUUGUCCAGAGUUCAGAGCCGCGGGCAGAGCUGCUGCAGAGGAAGCCACGGCCACGGGCAGGAAGACAGACGCUCCUGGUGCCCCCAGCGAGGCAGGCAGGGGCAGUCGUGUGUUCACUCAGCAAACGCUGAUGAAGCACUUCAAAGUGCCAAGUGUUGUGCCAGGUUCUGAGGACUCCCAGAGGAAUAAGGCCUGGGCCUUUGUGCUUGUGGGGGAGGAAGGAAAAUAAACGAGACCGUGAGUAAGUUCUACAGUAGAGGUAGGUGUGGGCCUGGGAGCGGGAGAGGGGGAGAUGACGCAGUGAAAAGAACUGUUCUCACGGUGCCUCCACUGUUGGUGCAGGCCCACCUCAGUGUGACCUGCCUGCCCCAGCCCACGUCCCUUCCGAGGGAAGCAUUUCUCACGGCGCCCGAGAUGCCGGCUGGUUGGAGAGCUCCAUGACGUCUGCCUGUCGUCAGUGUUCUCAGCCUUCCGGUCUCUGGUCUCUGCCCUCUUCCUCCCUUUCCUCUCCCCGUCUGGACGGGGCGGGGCUCCUAACAGUCCUAGAGGGAUCUCCUUAGGGUGGCCACACUGAGUCUGGCUGAUCUGAAAGGUAUUCACUUGAAGCUGUUUGUGAGUCACGUGGAGAUGUACCUGGGCCUCAAAAGCCUUGUGCAGACAGCUUCGGCCAGCUGAGGAGAACAGCGUUUGCUUGGCAUGAUGGAGUGCUCCUUGUACCCCUGAAUGCCCGUCUUCCGUCUUCCGGACAGUUGCCUGCUCCGUCUGCCCUUCAAGCUGGCUGGGUUUCCGAACACCCUGGCGUGCGUGUUUCCCCUCCGGGCCCUCUAUUGUGGCUGCACGAUAAGGCAAGGGUGGGGGCUGAUACCGCUGAUCCCAGACCCCUGGGCUGGAAAUCCCGGAAGAAUGAAGUCACAAUCGUUUGAGGCAUUUGAGACACCGCUGUUGAAAAACAAAGUGCAUCUCAGUUGGGACUAGUGACAUUUUAGGUGUUCAGUGCAAUGUGUGGCUGGUGGUUACCUCAUCCUGGGAAGGUCUUGGUAUCUUUCAAACGGCAACAAUAUAGCUGAAGCCGGAGCAACUGGCUGACAAGUGCCUUCCACAUAAAGGUACCCACGCACCAUGCAGGACAUGCGCGUGCGUACGGUGGGCUGAGAGACUCUGGAACGGGAACCGCCCUUGCCUAGCCUUCCUCCUUUGAUGCCUCGGCACAAUGACUCGGGAGCUUCGGUGCCAGACCUUCCAGUUAGACAGAAAUGCAGACCGUCUCCUUUUUACUCUCCUUGGUUGUGUCCUCUCCUCGGUCCAUGGUUUGGAGGUUAGAAAGAAAGGAGGAGAGAAGUGAGAGCGGAGUCAGGAGAAGAGAUGAAGCAGUGGUUAAGGCACUAGGCCUGCGGAGCCCUCUGGAGAAAUCUGCACACAGUUAAGCCAGUAACCAGAAUUAAAUCUGACUAAGGAAAAAUCAGCACUCUACUGCUUCGUCUGCUGGCAGUGACAUUAAAAUUUGCAGAGAGAACAUUUCAAACGCGGCGUCCUUCGUGCUCCGUCCUGAGCCCGGAUGAGGGUGGUUCAAAGAUGUUUUUCUAUAGAUGCUCCUGUGAGGAGGUGAGUAAGUGGCAGCUUUGGUUUCUUAGGUCAGAGAAUGGGGACCCUGCUCAGAAUGAGGAAGUCUGGAAUCCUCUUGGUCCCAUGAGGGCUUCCUAGUCUUCCUUCCCCUCCGCUCCUCUUGACUUUCCAAGGCGAAAACGGGGAAUGAACCCCACGUUUCUUUUUCAUGAUCUGGUAACAUUGUGCUAACAUGGCUAUUUUACUUUUCUGGUUUUUUCUAGCUGCUUGUGUUGUUAUUGUCUGGACUUCAGAAAUUUUUUAAGUGAUAAAUAAUCAUCUUGUGAAAGGUCAAGAGAAAGGAGGGUGUGAAAUCUGGAUUUCGUACGUGUUCCGCUAUGUCGUUUUACAGUCGUUCAGCACUUAUCUCUGUGCUUGGCAUUUGGUAUGUGGUGGGAUGGAUUAAAAAAACCAAACCAACAACAACCAAAAACCAGACCAGAGGGACCCCGUAAUCAAUUUUUAGGCUGAAGGAAACAAAACAAACAAAAAAACCUAGAAAUUAGAGGUGAGUUACUAAUAAUACAGUAACCAUGCAGCUGUCUCUGGGGACUUUGUAAUGUGGGUCGCAUGUCAUCUUUUUUCCUCAUGACGCAGCUCACCCAGAUGUAGAGAAGGACUAAACGGACUGGAACCAGGGGGAGGCAAGUGAAUCACUUACCCCGGGUGUACAACUUAAGGGGGCUCCAGAAACUCAGUAAUCAAGAUGAAUACUUUACAAAUCCAUGAUGAAUGGAUUCAUCCACUCAAUCUAUAAUGAAUUCAAUCCAUAAUGAAUCCAUGAACAAGGUAUCAACAUUUUAAAUAAAGAGAAGACCAGUAUUAAUGAUUUUUCUUU